CAACCCGAAUGCGCUGCAACAUGUAUUAGAUGCACUUAAACAGGAUGCCAGGUACACAGCCCUGGACCACAUCCCGGAGGAGAGGCAGGCGAUCCUGACGAGCUACCUCGAGGAACUAGAGAAGAAAGGACCCCCACCGCCUCCCACCGCCACGGAACCCAGCCGGAGAGCGAAGCAAUGAUACAGAAGCUGUGAAACCAAAAGAAGACUCAAAGGAUACAGCAAUAAGAAGAGAAAACAACAAAAAUUGUAUAUUUUGAGUUAGUCGACAUGAUUCCCUAGAUACAUUAUAUGUAUUGUAAUUUUUAAAUGAAAUAAAAUAAAAAAUGUGAUUAUA